UUUGUAUAUACAUAUUUACAUUUUCUCAGCGUUGAGGGCAAAAACAAUCAAAUAGGACUAUUUCAAAUUUUAUGUUUGCUUUGGAAGCAUUAUUAAUGUUUCAAUUUUUUUUAUUUAUUUAUUUAACAUUUGAACUGAGGUUUGAUGGCGACUUCGUUUUGGUCAAAUGCUUCAGCAAUGAGUGAACGAAAGUUUUGAAAAUGUUUCGUAAGGGUUUUUCUGAAAUUUGGCUACACGUGACAUUUUCUUACAAUUUUCAAAUAUAUGACAGAUUUCACUAUUAUGAAACAUAUUAUGGCCUUAGCGUAUGCAAUACUCGCGUUUUCGCAUUGAAAUAAAGGAUAAAUAUGGAGCAUGCUAGGUUGCCAGUUAGUGAAUUUUGAACGAAAUCCUAUGGAGUCAUGUCGCAUGAGAUUUGAGCAUCACUGUACAGAGGCUUUGUAGGAUUUUUCAGAAUUUGGGAGAGACCUUAGUUAUGUAGUAUUAGGCUUAGGUGACCCUCACACAACUUCCGUAAAGUUCUUGUUGAGUUUUUUUUUCAAUUCCAAUGAAGAAUCAACUUGUGAUCAAUGAAGCUCAAAUAUUUGAAAUGUGCAACAAGAGGAAAACCUCGUCAUUGCAGAAUGAAUCAAUUGCUAGGAGAGGGUGGAAAGGAAGAUGGAAGAAAGAGACGUUGGAGGAGGUACAGUAGGAAACGAAAGGGGUUGUAGCUAGAGGAAGCAGCGAUUUAUUGUUUGGUAUACCCUAUGUGAACUUUUUUGGACUUGUGUGAAAAACUUCGAAUAUUGUUAAACGUCAUUACACCUACAGCCCAAACAUAAAAAAAAGUCUUCAAAGGAAUUGACCUUUAUAAUGUGACUUACUCGUGGUUAGCUGACUACAUUGAUUUAAGCACUUUUGUGGCAUCUUGAACGCUUGCCCAAGUUCCUAGUAAUAAGUAGCAAAUUGCCAUUAGGUACUCAUAUUUUUGUAUAACUAAAGCUGCGUAAGCAAGCUACAAAGAAUUGCCAAGCGAGGAUUUUUGACACUAGCACACGGAAAUAUUAAUUAAAUAGUAAAUUAAUAACUUAUGCUGAAACUUUGGCGAUAACACUAUAAAAUGUGCCAAGACGUGUUCGUGAAUCACCGGUUUAGAUCAAAGAAAAAAAAUACUGAUGAAGACUAUAAUUCUUUAAAAGUUUGCUCAAUCUAACAUAAGAAAACACAUGAAAAUUACUAGAAGAUAAAGAAAAUCCUCCAGAAUUAAUAUUGGUACUGUGAAAUAUUAGGAUAUGGCAUCGAAUAUUUAUGAGUGACGUUUAGCGGGUGAAUUGAACUGUCGUUUCCGCAGUCGUUGGACGGUGUCAUCAAUCUUUGCAAUGGUUCCGUGUACCAAGCCACUUUUCUCGUGAUAUUAUUUGCAAAAAAAAAGUGGUGGGGUUGUGUUUUCCAUCUUUUUAUUCAGUGAUAACCAUUAUUGGUCUAAAUUUCGUCCUAAACCCACAGCCCUCGGGUUAAGUGAGACAUGGCCAGUUCGUCUUCUACAGGUUUCUCAUCACCAGCAUAUCUAUUCCCAGAGGCCUUUGAUAAAUGUGAGUGAAGAUGUCAUCAUCUACUUAGAAGCUAUAAUCUGGUCACCAAUAAAAUGCAACUAGAUUAGCAUCAAGAAAUAAGACAGGCUGCAUAAUACAGAAUUUUAGACCUCUAAUAACCUUGCUAUGCUCGAAGAUCGUCAGAGACUGACAAUAUUGGAUUUCAAAA